AGAAGUUGAUGAAAAUAGAUAAAAUGGAACUUGGGCUAUGCCCAGAACCGCAUUUUUCUAAUUUUCACAACUUCU
rnacentral:ncRNA from 1 species